rnacentral:rRNA from 1 species
GACGAACGCUGGCGGCGUGCCUAAUACAUGCAAGUUGAGCGCUGAAGGUUGGUACUUGUUCCUACUGGAUGAGCAGCGGACGGGUGAGUAACGCGUGGGGAAUCUGCCUUUGAGCGGGGGACAACAUCUGGAAACGAAUGCUAAUACCGCAUAAUAACUUUAAACACAUGGUUUAAGAUUGAAAGAUGCAAUUGCAUUACUCAAUGAUGAUCUCGCGGUGUAUUAGCUAGUUGGUGAGGUAAACGCCUACCCAGGCCAUGAAUCAGAGCCGACCUGAGAGGGUGGUCGGCCACAAUGGGACUGAGACACGGCCCAAACCCCUACGGGGGGCAGCAGUAGGGAAUCUUCCGCAAUGGACGAAAGUCCGACCGGGCAACGCCGGGUGAGUGGAGGAGGUUUUCGGAUCGUAAAACUCUGGUGGUUGAGGAGAACGUUGGGGGUAGGGGAAUGCGCAUCAAGUGACGGUAACUACCCAGAAAGGGACGGCUAACUACGUG